CACCCGCGGCUCGAGUGGUAGUCACUUUUAUUGAGCCUAAAGCGUUUGUAGCCGGAUUUGUAAAUCUCUAGGAAAAUACUUCUGCUUAACUGAAGAAAUUUUGGAGAGACUGCAAAUCUAGGGACCGGGUGAGGUUGAAUGUACUUCUGGGGUAGGGGUAAAAUCCUGUAAUCCUGGAAGGACGACCGGUGGCGAAGGCGCUCAACUAGAACGGAUCCGACGGUGAGGAACGAAGGCUAGGGGAGCAAACCGGAUUAGAUACCCGGGUAGUCCUAGCUGUAAACACUGCCCACUUGGUGUUGCAUCUCCGGUAAGGGGGUGCAGUGCCGUAGCGAAGGUGUUAAGUGGGCCGCUUGGGGAGUAUGGUCGCAAGGCUGAAACUUAAAGGAAUUGGCGGGGGAGCACCGCAACGGGAGGAGCGUGCGGUUUAAUUGGAUUCAACGCCGGAAAACUCACCGGAGGCGACCUGUGUAUGAGAGUCAACCUGAUGAAUUUACUCGAUAGCAGGAGAGGUGGUGCAUGGCCGUCGUCAGCUCGUACCGUAGGGCGUUCACUUAAGUGUGAUAACGAGCGAGACCCCCAUCUUCAAUUACUAAGCUAACCGUGAGGUUGGUAGAACUUUGAAGGGACCGCCAGUGCAGAACUGGAGGAAGGAGGGGUCGACGGCAGGUCAGUACGCCCCGAAUCUUCCGGGCAACACGCGCGCUACAAAGGACAGGACAAUGGGCUGCGACCUCGAAAGGGGAAGCCAAUCCCGAAACCUGUUCGUAGUUAGGAUUGAGGGCUGUAACUCGCCCUCAUGAAUCUGGAUUCCGUAGUAAUCGCGGGUCAACAUCCCGCGGUGAAUAUGCCCCUGCUCCU
rnacentral:rRNA from 1 species